rnacentral:piRNA from 1 species
UCGUACUAAGUCACCAUACUAAGUCGC